UCGCGUCACUCAAAGUCUGCAAACAGAGGCAAACAUCAAGCACUGUCAUAUUAACUCCUUCCAUCUCGAAUGGGUUAGCUAGCUCAUGUCAUGUGGGUAGGCAUAUGUCUCUCUCUCUCUCUAUCUCUCUCCCUACCGCAGCCAACCCCAAUGCACUCUAAUAGUAAAAGUAGCAGCUCACAAACACAACACUGUAGAAAUGCAAUGAUGACACUUAAAUGUGUGUAACGUUAUAUCAAAUCGGCAGGCUGAGUUAAUGUUUUCGUUUAAGCGUAAAAACGCGUGCAAGGCAGGCAACAGUCGCCUUUAUUAAUGGUUCAUGAAGGCAAAGAACGAAGCUUUACUUACUCGGUCGCUUGAAUAAACGUGUUAUCCAUGAGGAAUCCGGUCAGAGUAAUCGCAUACAAUUUGAAAAGCCAAAAAAUAAAACAAAACAAAAAAAUCGCGUAGCUGUCGCCGAUAGCUUUCUGUGAAAAUCCCAAAGACUCCAAGUGCCCACCGCCCUUCAAACGUCCAUCUCUUUUAUAAUAAACAAACCGGGGUAAAGACAAAAAGCUUGAAGGAGGAGAUGGACGGACUUGUCGCCCGCGCGCUGCCUCGUUUGCUUAUUUUGUCCGCGCGCGUUGGGAAGCCGCGGAGAGAAUCGAUGCGAUAGGUGUUUGAUUGGGUAUUCCUGCUUGUAAUAACGCACACCAGAAGGAGGGGAUGGACUCGGGCUGCGCCUCAGCUGCUGCUGCGAGAGCAUGGAUCACUGAGCUAUUGCCAAACACUUUCUUGACCGCUAAUAGCACUUUUUAGCCUUCUUUGUGGGGCUCGUAGCAGGUAGGCUAUUUAAAAACAGCAACUGGCGAAGCAGACGCGUCUUCCUCUCGCGCUCUCCAGUAAUGUCACUUCCGAAAAUCCUUUAUCAAACACUUUCUUCACAGAAUGGACUUUUUAAGACGAGAAGUGGGCAUCCUGAGGAAUGAAAUGAAUAAGACUUGUGAUGCGAUGUCUUGAAUUCAGGGCAAAAUUUGGGAACUAUCAUGCAUGGUCUUCUCCCUGGACACCUCAAGCAGAUAUUAUUCAGUCUUCUCUCUCUGGGUAUAUCUUUCCCAUCAAUAGGACAGAGACAUAUAAAGUAGAACAAAGAGAGAGUCAGGGUUUAAAAAUGAAAAUAAACAAUAAGCAUGAAAAAUGAGUUGUGUACUUGUUGAUAAAUGAAAAUAUGAAAUCAAUCAGUCAUCUUUAAUGAAACAUCAGCUGAAUACCGCACAGUCUUACUGUUUUAGAAUGCGGUUAUAUAAUGUUCACCAGGUCAGCUAGGCCACUUCAUUGAAGGGAUAGACUGCUGCCCUCUUUCCUGAAGAGGACACUCCACUUGUGGUCCUUGGUGAAUGAAACAACUACUUGGAAAAGCCGCAAGCAGCAGCCUUCCCGAGCUACUCACAAAACAGGCAACCAUCUCGAUUGCAUUUAAAAAUAAAUAAAUAAAUCAGUAGAUAAAUACCA
ensembl:lncRNA